rnacentral:rRNA from 1 species
CCUACGGGCGGCAGCAGUGAGGAAUAUUGGUCAAUGGACGAGAGUCUGAACCAGCCAAGUAGCGUGAAGGAUGACUGCCCUAUGGGUUGUAAACUUCUUUUAUAUAGGAAUAAAAUGUUCCACGUGUGGGAUUUUGUAUGUACCAUAUGAAUAAGGAUCGGCUAACUCCGUGCCAGCAGCCGCGGUAAUACGGAGGAUCCGAGCGUUAUCCGGAUUUAUUGGGGUUAAAGGGAGCGUAGGUGGAUUGUUAAGUCAGUUGUGAAAGUUUGCGGCUCAACCGUAAAAUUGCAGUUGAAACUGGCAGUCUUGAGUACAGUAGAGGUGGGCGGAAUUCGUGGUGUAGCGGUGAAAUGCUUAGAUAUCACGAAGAACUCUGAUUGCGAAGGCAGCUUACUGGACUGCAACUGACACUGAGGCUCGAAAGUGUGGGUAUCAAACAGGAUUAGAUACCCCUGUAGUC